rnacentral:rRNA from 1 species
CCUGAGAAACCCAAAAGAUCGAAUGGGGAGAUUCAUCGUCAGCGGCGCUGGCUUCCGUGCGGCGCGCGAUGGCGGGGACCUCGGUCUCGCGUCACGCCGCCGCUGCGGCAUGCCCGGUGUCGUCGGCGUGCACUUCUCCCCUAGUAGGACGUCGCGACCCGUUGGGUGUCGGAUCGAUGGCCGGUCGGUCGUCUGUCGUGCUCUCGCGCUUCAGACCGUCCGGUCGAACGUCCGACUGCCCGGCGGUAUCGAACGUUGAAAACUGGUACUGGGCCGCAUUCAGUGCGUUCCUGGCUCGUCGGCAGGCUCGUCUCGCUCGGAUUUACGGACCUAGCGCCGUUGCCGGGCGCUUGGCGCGGCCGUUAGUCGGCGAUGUCCUCGGACUGGCUCUUACCGGUCGGCGACGCUACUGCUUUGGGUACUUUC